rnacentral:rRNA from 1 species
GAUGAACGCUGGCGGCGUGCUUAACACAUGCAAGUCGAACGAGAAGUGGAGACGGACACCUUCGGGCGGAGGACUUUACUUCGAGUGGCGGACGGGUGAGUAACGCGUGGGUAACCUGCCUCAUACAGGGGGAUAACAGUUGGAAACGACUGUUAAUACCGCAUAAGACCACAGCACCGCAUGGUGCGGGGGUAAAAACUCCGGUGGUAUGAGAUGGACCCGCGUUCGAUUAGCCAGUUGGCGGGGUAACGGCCCACCAAAGCGACGAUCGAUAGCCGAUCUGAGAGGAUGACCGGCCACAUUGGGACUGAGACACGGCCCAAACUCCUACGGGAGGCAGCAGUGGGGAAUAUUGCACAAUGGGGGAAACCCUGAUGCAGCGACGCCGCGUGAGUGAAGAAGUAUUUCGGUAUGUAAAGCUCUAUCAGCAGGGAAGAAAAUGACAGUACCUGAGUAAGAAGCCCCGGCUAACUACGUG